rnacentral:rRNA from 1 species
UACGUAGGGUGCAAGCGUUGUCCGGAAUUAUUGGGCGUAAAGAGCUCGUAGGCGGUCUGUCGCGUCGGAUGUGAAACCUCGGGGCUCAACCCCGAGCCUGCAUUCGAUACGGGCAGACUAGAGUUCGGUAGGGGAGACUGGAAUUCCUGGUGUAGCGGUGAAAUGCGCAGAUAUCAGGAGGAACACCGGUGGCGAAGGCGGGUCUCUGGGCCGAUACUGACGCCGAGGAGCGAAAGCGUGGGGAGCAAACAGG